UUUUAAAGUGCAUGUCAAGUGUGCCUCAGAGUCUUACCCCACCCACGUAUCAAUUUUGAAAACUGCAACAUUAGUAGGCGUUGCCUGGAGGACCGAGAGGGCGGAGCCGCGGCAGUGACGAAGAGACGGCUAACUAGACGAAGCUAGCUCCCUUCACUCUGAGCAGUCAUUAGAAGUGGAGGACGUUUCUCCCCCUCCUUACCCAGACACUCGAGAAGAAAGGGACCAAGUCUAUUUGGAGGAGACAAGCGGACAUGAGCCUUAUUGUUUUGAGCUUGUGAGUUGCCUGAAAUUACUGGAACCGACCCAACAGACCCAUCUCUGAACGUGAUCCUCUGGUGUCUGCAGCUGAUCUCCUGCUGAUGUCGUCGGGAUCAGGAGCUUCCAGAAGAAUGUGCCUUUCAAUGACUCUUUCCCCCUUAUUUGUUAUAUUAAUUAAAUAAAUCUCAAUUUAUAUAUUUCCUGUUUUUGUUCAUGUCCAUAAAUACUUAAACAUGCUUGAAAUUAAAACGAGCUUUUAA